AACGAACGCUGGCGGCAGGCCUAACACAUGCAAGUCGAACGUGAAGCCACCUUCGGGUGGUGGAAAGUGGCAGACGGGUGAGUAACGCGUGGGAACGUGCCUUUCGGUUCGGGAUAACCCAGGGAAACUUGGGCUAAUACUGGAUACGCCCUCCGGGGGAAAGAUUCAUUGCCGAAAGAUCGGCACGCGUCGGAUUAGCUAGUUGGUGGGGUAAAAGCCUACCAAGGCGACGAUCCGUAGCUGGUCUGAGAGGAUGACCAGCCACACUGGGACUGAGACACGGCCCAGACUCCUACGGGAGGCAGCAGUGGGGAAUAUCGGACAAUGUGCGCAAGCCUGAUCCAGCCAUGCCGCGUGGGUGAAGAAGGCCCUAGGGUUGUAAACCCCUUUCAGCGGGGAAGAUAAUGACGGUACCCGCAGAAGAAGCCCCGGCUAACUCCGUGCUAGCCGCCGCCGUAA
rnacentral:rRNA from 1 species